GAAUAAGCAAAGCAGAGGCCUAUGAAAUUCCAUCUCUCUAAAAUCACACACACACACACACACACACACACACACACACACACACACACACACACACACAGUGUGUGCAUAUAUGUAUUCUGUAUAUAUGCCAGUGGUGUGUGUGUAGGUCAAAGGACAACUUGUGGAAAUUGGAUUUUCCUUCUACCAUGAGGCUCAAACUCAGGUCUCCUGGCUUGACUGCAAGAGCUUUUAUGCACCAAGCCGUCUCAUAGGCCCAAUUCCAGCUUUCUUACCCCCAAGGUCCAUUACCAUAGAAAGUUCUGAAGCCCAAUUCCAGCUUUCUUACCCCCAAGGUUCAUUACCAUAGAAAGUUCUGAAGUCCAGGAAGUUUACAAAAAACAAGAACAAACCAUAAGCUUCAACAAUAUGGAACAUAUUAAAUUGAUUUUUGAACUUUUUGGUUAAGAGGAUGCGCACACAGUUCUGGUGGUGGCUAUUAGCUUUGUCCUCUGAUUUAUUCACAACUUUUUACUCAUCUGAUGCUCCUAUGGUUCAUCUACCAUUCAUAUAAUCCAUGGUGCUUCUGAAAAAUUACCUGUUAUUGUACACUUACUGUGUUUUAUUCUUAACUAAUAGCAUCCUUGGCAUUGGAAAUAAAAGCUUUGAAAUGAUCAUAUGGAACUCCACUUGGCAUCUCAGAGCCACUUAGUUACUAAGCUUGGCUUUGGAAGGGCCUUACAGACAGGAAAGCUUUGUUCCAGCUUAGAUAUGUAUUAACAAGCAAUUUGAGACAAAACAGAGCAGCUACAAGAACAUAGAUAACAAAAAAGACGUACCCCCAAACCCUAAUCAAGCCCCCACUGGAACGCAGCUGUCAUUACAACAUCUUCCAAACUAGUUGGGUUUUGCACGUGUCCACACAGUAGACUAUGUACUGUCAGACUUGAAAGCUACUUCUUGAUAUUUAAAUAUAUGAUUAUGUUACUUUUCAGUUACAAUGAUGCCAGCAGAGUACAAAGCCUCCCCGCCUCCCCUGCCCACACCUCUGCCAGUGGGGUCUCACCUAUACACCGGGCUGGCCUUGAACUCUUCAACUUCCAACCACAGCCUCGACGUUUUCUACAACUUCAGUGCCAUUGAAACUAGUUUAAUGAUGGAGAUGCCACGACUGACGGAGUCCUCAUUGGGAAGCAGAGUGUUUGCUGGCUGCUUGGUCCACUUGGGUGGCUACUGCUGUUGCCUUAUUUACAGAGUGGAGAUGGAGAUGAAAUCCAAGGUCUUUCAAGAUAUGCAAAUGAAGCAUCCUUUUUAAAUUCAAAUUGUGGCAUAGCAUUAAAAAACUUAUUUUGAUUAAAAAUUAUACUUGUGAAUCUUCCCAUUCACUUACUCUUUCUUUUGUUUGAUUUUUAUUUCUUUUAAAGACAUUAAAAAUUUUUAAUUUAUAUAUAUGUGUGUGUGUGUGUGUGUGUGUG
rnacentral:lncRNA from 1 species